rnacentral:misc_RNA from 1 species
GAUGAAGAACGUAGCGAAAUGCGAUAAGUAAUGUGAAUUGCAGAAUUCAGUGAAUCAUCGAAUCUUUGAACGCACAUUGCGCCCGCCAGUAUUCUGGCGGGCAUGCCUGUUCGAGCGUCAUUACAACUCUCAGGCCCCCGGGCCUGGCGUUGGGGAUCGGCGGAAGCCCCCUGCGGGCACAACGCCGUCCCCCAAAUACAGUGGCGGUCCCGCCGCAGCUUCCAUUGCGUAGUAGCUAACACCUCGCAACUGGAGAGCGGCGCGGCCACGCCGUAAAACACCCAACUUCUGAAUGUUGACCUCGAAUCAGGUAGGAAUACCCGCUGAACUUAAGCAUAUCAAUAAGCGGAGGA